AUUUUAAUAAAUUAUUUCUUAUUAAAUUAUUUACGGUUUUGAAGGAAAAAUACUAUUCCACAAUUUUUUGGAAUACGCAAAAUUUUGAUUUUACGGUUUUGACGGGAAAAAUACAAUUCUCCGAUUUUACGGUUUUGGCGGAAAAACGCAAUUCCAUAAUUUUUCCGCCAAAAUCGUGAUUAUAUUAUAUUGGUAAA
rnacentral:sRNA from 1 species